rnacentral:rRNA from 1 species
GGUGCUAAUACCGCAUAACCAUAGUUACCGCAUGGUAACUAUGUAAAAGGUGGCUAUGCUACCGCUUUUGGAUGGGCCCGCGACGCAUUAGCUAGUUGGUGGGGUAAAGGCUUACCAAGGCAAUGAUGCGUAGCCGAACUGAGAGGUUGAUCGGCCACAUUGGGACUGAGACACGGCCCAAACUCCUACGGGAGGCAGCAGUAGGGAAUCUUCCACAAUGGGCGAAAGCCUGGUGGAGCAACGCCGCGUGGGUGAAGAAGGUCUUCGGAUCGUAAAACCCUGUUGUUAGAGAAGAAAGUGCGUGAGAGUAACUGUUCACGUUUCGACGGUAUCUAACCAGAAAGCCACGGCUAACUACGUGCCAGCAGCCGCGGUAAUACGUAGGUGGCAAGCGUUAUCCGGAUUUAUUGGGCGUAAAGAGAACGCAGGCGGUCUUUUAAGUCUGAUGUGAAAGCCUUCGGCUUAACCGGAGUAGUGCAUUGGAAACUGGGAGACUUGAGUGCAGAAGAGGAGAGUGGAACUCCAUGUGUAGCGGUGAAAUGCGUAGAUAUAUGGAAGAACACCAGUGGCGAAAGCGGCUCUCUGGUCUGUAACUGACGCUGAGGUUCGAAAGCGUGGGUAGCAAACAGGAUUAGAUACCCUGGUAGUCCACGCCGUAAACGA